CUACUCUGGCAAGACUUGUGCAUUUGAACAGGCAGUGCUGUCCGGUGGCCUGUUCCCAAAUGUAGGAACUUUAUCAAGGUCUAAUCACUUGGACCCAAAUCUGGAAGGUAUCUUCUUGCUUGAUUCCUGGAGAAAACAAAAGUUUGUGGAUACUGUGUGCUUGUGCACUUUCAGUCUUUGUCUCUUUCUCCUGACAGUGAAAAUGCCUGUUUGAUGCUCAAGGUUGAGUAUUAAGGAUGCACUGCUAUAACAUAGAGGGAACAUUACUUACUGAGUUGGGAUCUGGCUGCCUUCCUUUGUCACUUCUGCAUACAGUAACUCCUCAAAAAUGCUCUUUCAAGUUCUGCUAGGACCCAGAGCAACCCAGGAGAGGGGGAGCAUGGUGCUUUGCUGCAGCUUUGCCUGGUGAUUGCAGCCGAGGCGAGUAACCAGCUAAAAUAGCUCAGGACCCCCUGAAUUUCUUCCUGUGACAGAUGGAGUUAAUGACCUGAGAGCCAUUUGCAUGGUUUAUGCACAAAGCUGAUGGUUCUAAAAUGCCAGAGGAUAGGAUGUCGCCAGAACCUGGAGAGGAGGAUGUGCUUUCUCCAGCUGCAGAUUGAUGAGAAGGAAAACCAGAUUGUUGAAUGAGGAAGAUCCACAGAUUGGUAGUGGAGUAGGACAUAUUCCCAAGAUUGAAGAAACUUCCUGACAGUGACUUGCCUUUGCUCAAACCCGGGUGCUGUUAGCUUGAAUCCCAAAGGCAGACGUGACACAGGAUUUGCUGUGACUAAGGGAGGUGGCUUAAUUGCUUUUAGUCUGUUUCCCUUUUGUUAUUUCUUGCUCUGGUCAGUAAUACAGGGAUUUAAGAAAAUGGAGCUAAUGCACCUACACAAAUAAUAAAGAACCUGGAAUACCAGCUCCUGUCUCGGGAGCUGUUGAGGAUGAGGUCUCAUGCAGAGCCUGGUGCAGCGUGGCUGGGUGUGAAGCAGCAGGAUGGCAGAGCUGCAGCCCUGAAGGAGGGGGAAACUCCUACUACAAGAUGCACCUUUUAUCUUUUCCUUCCAGUAGAGCUGGGGUUUGUGUGCUAAAGAUCUCCCUGCACUACCAUUCCUCUGUUAACAUGGCAACACCUCGUGUGGAGGCAGAGAUUUUGAGCUCAUCUUUUCCUUCUCCCGCAACCUCCGAGAGCUUGUUUUGCUGGCUCAAGUUCUGCUUUGCUUUGUAUUUGCUUUGUAUUUGUAGGAUCAAACGUCUCCCAUUUUCCCCUUUUUGUGGUGAACAUAUUUAUGAAUUAUUGAAAUAAAACAACCUGUAUGGCCCCAAAAGGGUCUGCAAAGAA